rnacentral:rRNA from 1 species
UACGAAGGGGGCUAGCGUUGCUCGGAAUCACUGGGCGUAAAGGGUGCGUAGGCGGGUCUUUUAAGUCAGGGGUGAAAUCCUGGAGCUCAACUCCAGAACUGCCUUUGAUACUGAGGAUCUUGAGUUCGGGAGAGGUGAGUGGAACUGCGAGUGUAGAGGUGAAAUUCGUAGAUAUCGCAAGAACACCAGUGGCGAAGGCGGCUCACUGGCCCGAUACUGACGCUGAGGCACGAAAGCGUGGGGAGCAAACAGG